GGAAAUUUAAAAAUUCAUAAAAUUGACCGGAGCUGGGACCUGUUGUCUUCAUGUUGCCAAGGUAAGAGCAUUGUUCUAAUUUUGUUCGCUGAUUGGAUUAAAUUAGUCUCUAGAAUAAAAGCAAUAUUUUACAUAUUGCGCUCUCUUUGUUUUGUAAUGACCAACAUUGCUCAGUUAAAUUUUUGUUUAAACAUUUGAAAAAUAAUUUUUUAAAUUGGUUCACGGAAACAAUAUUUUAAGUGAGGAAUCAAACUAACUUUUCAUAUGGUUUUGUUUUCAGCAGUUGGCCGAAGAAGUUGAGAACAGGCGGGAAACCGAAUUUGGUCGGCCGCUCCACAAAAGACGACCACAGCGCACCCCUCACUCGCACCACCCUGACAUCGUCGAAUACUUGAACUACGUCAAGAGAGAAAUGAGCUGCAAGUUGUAUAUGUGUUAAGGUAGCGGCGGAUUGAAGUCACAUCAAUCGAUCUGUGACCAAGAGAACACAGAAGAAGUUGAAAAAAGGUAUGUGAUGAUAUCACGGAUCUGAAGAAAGCUCUUGCAGUUAUGAUGGACACGUACUACGCUGUCAACGUUGAGUUUCCCAACCGAAUGAAGAAGACUUUAGAACUUCUUGUGUUUCUAUGUGGCGUAGAAAAUCUCACACAUCACCAGAUCAACGAAAAACUCAUCAACAUUGUGCAGAAGAAUGUGAUCAACGUUAAUUCCUAACAAGUUUGUUGUCCAGUGCAAUAAAAAUUGAAUUUAUGUA